AUUGAACGCUGGCGGCAGGCUUAACACAUGCAAGUCGAGCGGGGGAAGGUAGCUUGCUACUGGACCUAGCGGCGGACGGGUGAGUAAUGCUUAGGAAUCUGCCUAUUAGUGGGGGACAACAUCUCGAAAGGGAUGCUAAUACCGCAUACGUCCUACGGGAGAAAGCAGGGGAUCUUCGGACCUUGCGCUAAUAGAUGAGCCUAAGUCGGAUUAGCUAGUUGGUGGGGUAAAGGCCUACCAAGGCGACGAUCUGUAGCGGGUCUGAGAGGAUGAUCCGCCACACUGGGACUGAGACACGGCCCAGACUCCUACGGGAGGCAGCAGUGGGGAAUAUUGGACAAUGGGGGGAACCCUGAUCCAGCCAUGCCGCGUGUGUGAAGAAGGCCUUAUGGUUGUAAAGCACUUUAAGCGAGGAGGAGGCUACUUUAGUUAAUACCUAGAGAUAGUGGACGUUACUCGCAGAAUAAGCACCGGCUAACUCUGUGCCAGCAGCCGCGGUAAUACAGAGGGUGCGAGCGUUAAUCGGAUUUACUGGGCGUAAAGCGUGCGUAGGCGGCUUAUUAAGUCGGAUGUGAAAUCCCCGAGCUUAACUUGGGAAUUGCAUUCGAUACUGGUGAGCUAGAGUAUGGGAGAGGAUGGUAGAAUUCCAGGUGUAG
rnacentral:rRNA from 1 species